GUUAUGCCCGUUGUUUCAAUAUUCAGUACUUUGGAAGGAUUUGUUUACACAAUAUAAAAUUGCUAAAGUGAAAGUAAAACACACGUGACCUUUAUUUGUAAACAAUUCGCUGAAUUAUGUAUAAUUAUACAGGUGAAGUUCACAAAUAGAUGCAGUAUUAAGUGUGGUUUCACACACACAUCCUUGUAAUUCCUCGUAAUUCCUCGUAAAAUAAUAUUCAUUUUUGGAUACAAUGAAUGAAAUUGUAUUAAAUUCAAUGAUGAGCAAUUCAUUUACUUUUCCAAUAAUUUAACGGCGGUUUGUGUUAGUAAUCGCAUUUAUAUCUUAUCCAAUAAUUAAGUCUACCGUAAAAUUCUGAUACUUCCUCUCAACAUUAAUUUAACUUUUGUGGUUUUACUUAGAAGUAUUUUAAUGUGAUUAUGAAAGAGAUCUACUAAACGUCGUAUUUGAUAGAAACUGAGGGCAAGCUAAAAAAAAAUAUCUAUAAAAAUUAAAUCAAUACAAUAAAAUUGUUACUAUGUAUUUAAAAUGUUUAUGUAGCACAAAUAAAAAUAAGAGCAUUUACUAAAUAUGGGACUAGUACAUGAAUUUGUUUAUUGGUCCCAGAUUAGAGAGGGCCCUCAUGGGGUUUUUGAUUAUGUGAUUACUUGGCCGUUUUUUUAAUGAUUAUUUGAUUAUUAAGCCAAAUAUUUCAUGAUUAUUUGAUUACCUAGGCUGUAUUUUUAGUUUAUGAUUAUUUGAUUACUAAAGAUAAGCAAAUAUUUAAUGAUUAUGUGAUUAUAUUGGCAAAAAAAUGGUGAUUAUGUGAUUACUAGGACCCCCCCAUGAGGGGCCUCAUUAGAUACACCCGGAUAAAUACUUCAAAAUAUUUUGUCUUAGCCAUCAUAAAGGAAGGCUUAAAUUAAACAUAAAGAGCAAAAUUUAAUGUUGAGACAUAUAAACCAUUUAAUGAAAUAAAAGAAAACAAAAAAAUAUUCAAAACGUCUCAAAAAUCGAGUGCAAGUCUUAUAUUUUGCAAAACCUGUGUUACCAAUUAAAAGGGAAUAACACUGUAGAUCUGCAAAAUCUGAAUCUAAAAUUUUAAUAAGAUAUGUAUGGCCAAUGUUCGUCAAAAUUUGAACCAACAUAAAACAAACAAAAAAUUGCAGUUUUCACAUCAACACAGAGGUUAUAAACAAUUCUCUGUGACUUAUCCUUUACUUUUUAUGGUGAGAAUGAAGUAUUGUUAUUGCUUCAACUCGAAGUGCUUAUAUUAAAUAAUCUCUAGGCUUUUUAACUAGAGUAGAGGUCGGUGGUCGCUUUUUUUUUUUAAAUUUCAAUUACUAUUUUAAAUAAUUUAUUUUAGUUAAAUAUCUAUAAUAAUUCAAGGACAUUCAAAUCGACAUUUUUUUUUCAAAAUUUUAAACAUAAUAGUCGACUGGGAUAUAUUUUGUCCGUCUCCUGUCCGUAAGUAAAACCUAUAUAUGUUUACUGCUUGGGUGUCGUUCAUUUUUCUGAGUCAGCGUCCACGUGGACCUUACUAUAUAUAGCUAUAUCGUUGCGUAGAAUAGGGAGCUCUCUGCAAAUAAAAACUGUCCUUUUACAACUCUCAUUUUUGUUCCAAGAUGGCUUCUUGCUGCACACUUUUUGGGUUCCUAUCUUUUUUCAGUGCCAGUCCAAAAUCCCGCCCUUUCGGCUGCUCAUUUUGCAGAAUCUUUCAAUUUGAUUUACUGUUAAUCAGCUCUUGUAAUGAAUAUGCAAUGGACAUUGUGAUGAAAAAAUAUCAAUCAUUUUAUGAUUUAUUUAUGUUGGCCGUUUUUAUUUUUUUUUUUGUAAUUAAUUUAAUUUCUAUAUAAAUAUCUAUCAUGUAAAAAAUCUAUUUACAUAUUUUCACUUCAAUUUUUAGAAAUAUAAAAACCAAGAUUGCUCUUAAAUUUAUUUAUAAAUAAGACAAUUCUUCGUGAAUUUAAACAUUUAAACAAAUGACAUAUUAUAUGUUGCACAGCUUUGGUUUGCAUUGUUAGGCUGACCCAUAUUUUCAGCUAAAACGAUUGGGUAGAAUUUAUCGAAUUGUAACGCCAGGGACCUGCUAAAUAGGACUAUUGACACGUUUCCUGGAAAAGUGAAUAUAAUGUGUAUAUUUUGAUAACGGAAACUUCUCACAUAUAACUUUCUUUCAUUAGAUGUGCACAACAAAAUGCAUGUCGAUUUCUCAUAUGACGCGAUUUAACAUGAAUCUUUUUUUUAACAUCGAAAAUUGGAAAUAUCAAGUAAGCUUUUGUUUUAUGUAGCAUAUGAUAGUUUCUUCAAAAUUGUACCACUAAUUAAUGAAGAAAUGUUUGCUUGACAUAUAUAUGACCAGUGCAUGUAUAGCUAUACUUUUAAUGGUUAAACAAUUGUAAUUGUAAACAACAUGGAUUACUUAUAAUUAUAUACUUACCAUAUCCGGUGACCUUGUUUUUCUUGGAAUCCAAUGUAAAUAUGACCGCAAUCAUAAGGUUGUUCCAUUUAACGAAAAAAGAUAUACAUUUGUACUGUAAUAGGCGAGGGGCCUGAGUUGGGGGUCUCAUCACAAUUCACGAGUUGAUUUUUUGGUCAAUCACGAUUCACAGAAAAUAAAUUUCCAUGAUCACGGAUCACGUAAAUAAAAAAGUAAAAAAUAUAUAGAAAAACGCAUCACAAUAGCGAAAAUGCGCCGAUCACGAAGAAUGAAAAUAACCCAUCAGGCCCAUCAUAGGUUAAAGGUGACGUAAUAUAUAAGGAUACCUAAAUAUAAUCUCCUUAUGUAGAUGAUAUCGGACAAUCACUAUAAUGUAUAAGUAAAUUCAGAAAAAAAAAAUCCCAAUAAAUAAAGAAAAUAUUUUCUAGCGAUAGGAUGGACAAAUUUUAUAUCUCAACAUUUUAUCAAUGAACUUAUUUUUUAUGAUUUUUAGAAGGAAACAAAUCGUGCAUGCACACUACUCGACCGAAUUGAAAAUAUUUUUGCAUAUUGAAACUUCAUUUAAACGCAAAUAAAUUACAGAAAAACGUAUCAGUAUGUAUUAUAUACCACAGUAAAAGUUUUCAUAAGUGGGGCGCAGUGAUAUUAAAUUCACGAAAAAUAAUUACGUCGCAGUACCUAAAUUAAACCGAGUAUCUAAUUUAAACCAUUUCUUCAACCGCCCUCCAAAAAUGACAGAUAUCUUUUACCUUUAUUUGUCAUUUUCCCAAUGUCACUAAAUGCCUAAAUGAUGAACAACAAACGGUUAUAAUAUUAUACCACUGCAGAGUUAGUCUCCAGUGAAAAGAAAGAGCAUUUACGGAAACGCCCAUAACCAGACUCAAGCUAGCGAACAAUAAUCCAGCGAACAUGCGACGUCUAGAUCAAUUCAACUUUUAAAAUGGGCAAUUGAAAUAAAUCACAAGCAUCAAUUUCUUGCAAAAAGGAGUCAUAUAUAUAUAAUAUCAUACUAAACGUUUGUCAAAUUAUUUUUAUAAAUGUUGAGAAAUAAAGCAAAACAUCGAUUUUGAGUUCUCACUACGGUAUCACAGAUGUUAAGCUUGUGUGCAUGCGAUUUAGAUACUUCUCAAUAUAGAAUCACAAAUCUGAAGUUAUUAGCUUAUGUGCAAUUUGGGUACUCCUUAUUAAAGUUCCGUUUGGACGUCGAGUCUAACCCAUUUUAUCUAUUUUAUCAGCAUACGGAUUCAAAUUUGAAUUUGGUGAAUUUACUAAAUAAGCAUGCAUCUAAAAGAUAAAAUACCUUCACACUAUAUUUUUAACCCAAAACUGUGAAGAAUUCUUAAGUUGACAACUUGGAAAGCACUGUUUUGUUUUGCUCCCUGUUUUUGAUGCUCACAAAAGAUUUGCAGUUGUCUUCUAAACUUUAAAGCUCCAUCUGAUCUUUCUAAAGUUAUCCUAAAACAAUAAUAAGUGUCGUUAUAAUGAAAAAAACAAAAUCUAUAUAGAUAAAAUAGCUUGAACCCAUUAAGAUAUUUUGCUUUUAGGUUCAUAUGAAUAAUAGUGAGAUGUGUAAACGAUCAGGUUUGUGAACGUAACUGUAACAUUUCUGCAAUGAAGAUCAUGAGGGUCUAGAGAGAAAGAAAAAAAAGGGGGGGGGGGUAAUUUCUGUAUCAAUUAUUUUUUAGAUCAGUUUUUUUCUAUUCUUUAUUUUUUGCGCAUUAUUCUCUAUUUAUGAUAUCUAAGGACCCCAAUUUUCACUACUCUUUAUUUUGUGGCCUAUUUUACUCCAUUUUCUUUUUUUUCAUCAUUACAUGUAAUUCUCUGUUUGCUCACCAUUGCCUAUUUUGUAAUCCUAAUUUCUCAUUUUUAAUGACUAAACGGGAGAAAAAAGUUUGCAGAAAGGAAAGAAAAUAUUUUGUGAUACGUAAAAACCCUACCUGUCUUUCGCAUGUAUGACCCCCCAUGUAUGUUAGAAAAGGAAAAUUCACAAAAAAAAAAUUAAAAAAAAACAUUUGACAAUUCAGAUUUUAAUCUUCUCCGAUGUUCAAUGAUCACAAAUAGAUUAACGCAUCGGUUUCAAAGGCUCCGUAGUGUCUUUAUUGAUGAACACAACCACAGAAAGACAGAGUAUAUGAACUAAAGAAGAUGAGGAAUAUUCGCAUAUAAGAC
rnacentral:lncRNA from 1 species